rnacentral:lncRNA from 1 species
ACUUGGGAGAAGAAGAUAGGGCAGGAGCACACUUCACGGAGAUCUUCAUAGGGAUUCCACCCCGUAUCAUGGCAUCUCUGCAGACUUGUCAGCGUCAGCCCAAUAUCAAAUCCCAUCUGUACUAGGCCACUCCAUUUUUCUAAGCAAACAUUUGAUCCUUGAUCAAUGCUCUCUUGCGUUGAUGCAUACUCCUACGAGCCUACGCAUGGUCCUAUAUAGUAUUAUCUCUAUCUCUCUCGAUCGAAACCUAUUAUCUUCUGAUCUGGUCAUGUUACAAUAUUAUUUAUUUGACAUAUUAGU